rnacentral:rRNA from 1 species
UACGGAGGUGGCAAGCGUUGCUCGGAAUCACUGGGCGUAAAGGGCGCGUAGGCGGGGAGGUAAGUCGGGUGUGAAAUCCCUCGGCCCAACCGAGGAACUGCGCCCGAGACUGCUUCUCUUGAGUCCCGGAGAGGAAGAUGGAAUUCCCGGUGUAGCGGUGAAAUGUGUAGAGAUCGGGAAGAACAUCGGUGGCGAAGGCGGCCAGCUGGGCCGUUGCUGACGCUGAGGCGCGACAGCGUGGGAAGCAA